GGAGAUCCUCAGAUACAAGAUCUUUGAGCCGAUCCUCCUUCUGGGAAACACCCGCUUCUCAACCUUGGACAUCCGCGUCCGUGUCAAGGGUGGUGGUACAGUAAGCAAGUUCUAUGCUAUCCGCCAAGCUAUCUCCAGAGCAAUCGUCGCCUACUACCAAAAGUACGUCGAUGAGGCCCAAAAGAAAGAGAUCAAGGACUUGUUGACCUCCUAUG
rnacentral:misc_RNA from 1 species